AAAGUACUAUGCAAAAACCAAAACUCUGGCUAGUAUGUGACAUUAUUUGAUUAAUUGAGCUGGGAGUAGAAACAAAAUGUUGUCGUUGGUGAUAAUAAUGGUUUAAAUUUUGUGUGAUUAAUAUUUAUUUUAAUUUUAUUGAGAAAGUAAUUUGAUCACUGCUAUUUUUCUAGUUGCCUCUGCUUCUUUGAUGGGAAUGUUGGCUCUGCUACUAAUGUCGUCUUUUUUUUUUCUGCAAGUGAUUUAGGUCAAGUUCUUUCGAAAAAUAUUUAUAUCUUCGUUAUUUUAUUUUUUGCUGUAAACUGUAAGCAGUUUUAUCUUCAAUAACAAUUUAAGUCUGAGAUGUAUGCCAAAGCAUUUUUAUACAAUUGAGAAUUACUUAAUCUAACGUGCAACUUUAACUUGUAAGAUUUCACCUACAAAUAAGUAAAUAAAAAUUGUAUUGAAGGCUGAGGCAAUUGCUUUAUGCGUUUUGAUACUUAUCUUCGUGGUGCUUUAUAUAUUUUACUCAAGGAUAAGUAUACUCAGUUCUAUUAUUUGUGUGUUACUGCAAGCUGCAAGUUUGGAUUCUAUCACUUCACUCGUUAAGAAUGACUUGAUAACUAUUGAAACACUGGUCAAAGAGAUGGAAAUGUAUCUGACCACUUCAGAUAAUGUCAUUUGAGCUAGAGGUACCCUUCUUCUUGCGGAAGUUCUUGGACGUCUUGCUUCAAAGCCACUAGGCAGUGCUAUCAUUCAUAGCUUAAUUGGAUUCUUCACAGAUUGGCUGG